GAUGAACGCUGGCGGCGUGCCUAAUACAUGCAAGUCGAGCGAACGGACGAGAAGCUUGCUUUUCUGAUGUUAGCGGCGGACGGGUGAGUAACACGUGGAUAACCUACCUAUAAGACUGGGAUAACUUCGGGAAACCGGAGCUAAUACCGGAUAAUAUUUUGAACCGCAUGGUUCAUAAGUGAAAGACGGUCUUGCUGUCACUUAUUGAUGGAUCCGCGCUGCAUUAGCUAGUUGGUAAGGUAACGGCUUACCAAGGCAACGAUGCAUAGCCGACCUGAGAGGGUGAUCGGCCACACUGGAACUGAGACACGGUCCAGACUCCUACGGGAGGCAGCAGUAGGGAAUCUUCCGCAAUGGGCGAAAGCCUGACGGAGCAACGCCGCGUGAGUGAUGAAGGUCUUCGGAUCGUAAAACUCUGUUAUUAGGGAAGAACAUAUGUGUAAGUAACUGUGCACAUCUUGACGGUACCUAAUCAGAAAGCCACGGCUAACUACGUG
rnacentral:rRNA from 1 species